UGGGGAAUAUUGCACAAUGGGCGAAAGCCUGAUGCAGCAACGCCGCGUGCGGGAUGACGGCCUUCGGGUUGUAAACCGCUUUCAGCAGGGACGAAGGUUUUCUGACGGUACCUGCAGAAGAAGCACCGGCUAACUACGUGCCAGCAGCCGCGGUGAUACGUAGGGUGCGAGCGUUGUCCGGAAUUAUUGGGCGUAAAGAGCUUGUAGGCGGUCCGUUGCGUCGGAAGUGAAAACUCAGGGCUUAACCCUGAGCCUGCUUUCGAUACGGGCGGACUUGAGGGAUGUAGGGGAGAACGGAAUUCCUGGUGGAGCGGUGAAUGCGCAGAUAUCAGGAGGAACACCAGUGGCGAAGGCGGUUCUCUGGACAUUUCCUGACGCUGAGAAGCGAAAGCGUGGGGAGCAAACAGGCUUAGAUACCCUGGUAGUCCACGCCGUAAACGGUGGGCACUAGGUGUGGGACCCAUUCCACGGGUUCCGUGCCGUAGCUAACGCAUUAAGUGCCCCGCCUGGGGUAGUACGGCCGCAAGGCUAAAACUCAAAUGAAUUGACGGGGUCAUGAGCUGUUU
rnacentral:rRNA from 1 species